AAAUGCCCAUGAUGAUCAACGACUUAUAUUUGCCUACAUUGCUUGAUUGCUGUAUGAUAAAAGAAUACGUUGUUCUGAGGCUUUA